ACACUUACCUGGAAGAGGAGAGACCACGAUCACCACGGUGGUUUUCCCUGAGUGAGGCUUAUCCAUUGCACUCAACUGUGCUGACCCGUACGAUUUCCCCAACUGUCGGAAACUCCACUGCAUAAUUUGUGGUAGCUGGGGACUGCGUUCAUACACUCCCCUA
ensembl:snRNA U1 U1 spliceosomal RNA